rnacentral:rRNA from 2 species
AGUCGGCCAUAGUGAUCCGGUGGUCCCGCGUGGAAGGGCCAUCGCUCAACGGAUAAAAGGUACGCCGGGGAUAACAGGCUGAUACUGCCCAAGAGUCCAUAUCGACGGCAGUGUUUGGCACCUCGAUGUCGGCUCAUCUCAUCCUGGGGCUGGAGCAGGUCCCAAGGGUACGGCUGUUCGCCGUUUAAAGAGGUACGUGAGCUGGGUUUAGAACGUCGUGAGACAGUUCGGUCCCUAUCUGCCGUGGGUGUAGGAUACUUGAGAGGAGUUGCCCCUAGUACGAGAGGACCGGGGUGAACGAACCACUGGUGGACCUGUUGUUGCGCCAGCAGCAGUGCAGGGUAGCUAUGUUCGGACAGGAUAACCGCUGAAGGCAUCUAAGCGGGAAGCCCCCCUCAAAACAAGGUAUCCCUGAGGGCCGUGGAAGACCACCACGCCGAUAGGCCGGAGAUGUAAGUGCAGCAAUGCAUUCAGUUGACCGGUACUAAUCGCCCGAUAGGCUUGAUUUGAUCCAG